UUGUUGUUGUGUGUGUGUGUGUUAUUAAUUGAUAAUAUCUUUUCAGCAUACACACCAGUACCAAGACCAACGCCUGAAUAUUACUGGGGUCCGUCGCCACAGUAUUACUGGGGUCUGCCACCACAGCAUUGUCAGUGCUGUGUCCAACGUGAGUUAUCGUGUGGUAAGCAAAUGUGACGACGUUAAUUUUAUGUUUUCUUUCAGGAGUGGAA